GGAUGUUCCGGGGAGGAGUUGAAAUGUGUCUCAGAACAAGCGCAGAGGUGGUCAGGGAGGUUGUUUGCAACGUGGUCAGUUUGAAGGUUGCCUGUUGAAGGUGAUCAUGCAGUGUCUGUGCCUGUGAAGACUGAGUGAAAUGAGGUAUGCUGUAAAUGAUAUGGGGGAUCCUGACAAGUCCACUAAAAUGGACUAAAGAAAAUGGCAGUUUUUCACUGAAGAUGAAGUUGCAAGAUUAUGCACAAUUGACUGUAGAUAUGCACUCCAAAGGAGAUGAGGAGCUGACUAAGACUAAUCAGUAAAGAGGCUGCCUGCAAUCCUCUGGAGAGGACUCCACAAUAUGUGAGAAUCAGGUGGACUAUUUUGGAGAUAGUCACAGAAUCUAGAAGAUUACCUACAGAGUGAAAUGAGCUGAUAAACAAUGUCUCUUUGAGCCUGAAAUGCUGGCAGUGUUCCAGUAUUUUAUUCUCACCUUGAUUCUAAGACCAGCCUGUGUUGGAACUCCAGGUAUACUGUAAAGGAUGUGUGGGUUCUGAAGAGCCACAACUAAAGGGACUAAUUCCCUGAAGAUGACAUUGCAAGAAUGUACAUAUGAGAGGUCUCAAUCUGCAAGUGCCUUGGUGGAAUAAGUACCGUGUCUAUGAAGAAGUUGGUCUCUCCUUUAAUGUUAAAUGAGGUCUUAAUCUGGAAAGUGUCAUGGUGAGAAUAAGUUCUGAGUCUAUGAAGAUGUUGGUCUCUCCUUCAGUGUUAAAUGAGCAAUUGACAGAAGACUGAAGUCUCAUUGCACAUGGACCAAAAGGCUUUUUUUUUUUUUUAGGCAUUAAAUGGAUUUUCUAGAGUGUCAUCCUCCUAAUAAGAUUGCAAUUCUUUGGAACGACCCCUGUGAUUGUAAAGGUGGAAACCUUGAGUGCUGUACAGUAGUAUCAUGUAAUUUAAUUUAGAUACAAAUAAAGCUAGUCCAUAUCAAA